AAAGCAUUGUGUUCUAAUACUACAGCGUCAAAUACGGGAAUCAGAAAUGGUGCGUGUGUAUUAGUAGAAAAGGCUCUGAAUCGACAACUGUUAUACUUGCCAUGUCGACACCAUAUUUUUGAAAUUGUUCUUCGAAGUGCAUUUGAAAUAUACUGGUAUUUAUGACCAAGAAAUUUUGGAAGUUAUAACACCAAUCAAAGAUGAAAUUUUGAAAUUCGUUAAUAAUCAAAUAGAAAUGGAUCAUUGUCGUGACGAUUACCGUGAACUCCUGCAAUUAUCAUCGAUAUUUUUGAGUGCUACUACCACAAAUAUUACAUUUAAGCGUCCUGGAGCCGUCCAUCAUGCAAGGUGAAUGGCUAAAGCAAUAUAUAGUUUAAAAAUUUUUUUAUUUAGAAAUGAAUUUCAUCUUACUAAAUCAGAAAUAGCUGGAUUACGAGAACUUAGUUUAU